CACCAGCUCAUCUUGUCGUCCAUUCUAGUUGAAACUUUUCUCUGAAAAAUUGAACCUCACUUGAGUAACUUGCACGCGCUUUUCCUGGAAAUCUACCUAGAAGUCUCCUUCUCUUUGAACAACUCAAAUAAUGCAACUGGUUUCAUCUGACAUUCAUGGAGCAUCUUCUACAUGAUUCCUUAUGAUUUCCUCUCGGAUGCAAAACAUUAAGCUCUCCAAAACAAUUCCUGCAAAGCUUCACUAAAACCACCAUCUAAUCCAGAAAAACCCAACAUAAACUGUGGUUGCAAUGCUUCCAGCCUGAAGCUCUAUCGAGUUUCUAUCAACUCUGAUCAAACUCGUAAUCACAAUGGAGACAUCUUAGGUUGAUCCAAUCAGCUUCUCAAAUAGAGUGAAUCAUUACGCAGAAUUUUCCUCUCCAAAUGCUUUUCUUGAGCACCAAAAACAACAUCCAUGAAUCGACCAUAUGAGCUGAUACACGGUGUAUAACACUCCCCCUACACAGUUGCAUCACAUUCUUCACUGCUUGGUUCCAGACUUUGUGUUGUUCAGUAGCAUCAUUAUGAUUUUAUCUAGUCUUUGUCUCCAACUGCAGCUUAUACCAAUAUUCACAACUUCACUAAAUCUUCUUAGUUAGCUCAUGCUCCCAGCN
rnacentral:lncRNA from 1 species